rnacentral:sRNA from 1 species
UGAAGUUAUGAAGUCAGGAUACGUAAAU